CCGCACAAGCGGUGGAGCAUGUGGUUAAUUCGACGCAACGCGAAGAACCUUACCAGGGCUUGACAUCCCCUGACCGCGUAUGAGAGUACGUUUUCACCCUCGGGUGACAGGGAGACAGGUGGUGCAUGGUUGUCGUCAGCUCGUGUCGUGAGAUGUUGGGUUAAGUCCCGCAACGAGCGCAACCCCUACGUUUAGUUGCUAACGCGUGAAGGCGAGCACUCUAGACGAACUGCCGUUGACAAAACGGAGGAAGGUGGGAUGACGUCAAAUCAUCAUGCCCCUUAUGUUCUGGGCUACGCACGUGCUACAAUGGCCGGUACAGACGGACGCAAAGCCGCGAGGUGGAGCAAAUCCUAAAAAGCCGGUCUCAGUUCGGAUUGCAGGCUGCAAUUCGCCUGCAUGAAGUCGGAAUCGCUAGUAAUCGCAGGUCAGCAUACUGCGGUGAAUACGUUCCCGGGCCUU
rnacentral:rRNA from 1 species